GAAGGUUUUCGGAUCGUAAAACUCUGUUGUAAGGGAAGAACACGUAUGAGAGUAACUGCUCGUACCUUGACGGUACCUUAUUAGAAAGCCACGGCUAACUACGUGCCAGCAGCCGCGGUAAUACGUAGGUGGCAAGCGUUGUCCGGAAUUAUUGGGCGUAAAGCGCGCGCAGGCGGU
rnacentral:rRNA from 1 species